rnacentral:rRNA from 1 species
GACGGAGGGUGGCUAGCGUUGUUCGGAAUGACUGGGCGUAAAGGGCGCGUAGGCGGCUCGUGAAGUCGGGUGUGAAAGCCCGGGGCUCAACCCCGGAACGGCAUCCGAUACUGGCGGGCUUGAGACCGGGAGAGGAGGGUGGAAUUCCCGGUGUAGCGGUGAAAUGCGCAGAUAUCGGGAGGAACACCAGUAGCGAAGGCGGCUCGCUGGGCCAUUCCUGGACGCUGAGACGCGAAGGCUAGGG